rnacentral:tRNA from 1 species
GCUUUCCUGGUGUAGUGGUCAGCACGGUCGACUAGUAACCGAGAGGUCCGUGGUUCGAUUCGCGGCGAAGGCG